rnacentral:rRNA from 1 species
UAAGGAAUAUUGGUCAAUGCCCGGAAGGGUGAACCAGCCAUCCCGCGUGAAGGAUGAAGGGGCUCUGCCUUGUAAACUUCUUUUGAAUGGGACGAAAAAGCCUCACUUGUGAGGAACUGACGGUACCAUUUAUAAGCUCCGGCUAACUACGUGCCAGCAGCCGCGGUAAUACGUAGGGAGCAAGCGUUGUUCGGAUUUACUGGGCGUAAAGGGCGCGUAGGCGGCGCGGUAAGUCACUUGUGAAAUCUCUGAGCUUAACUCAGAACGGCCAAGUGAUACUGCAGUGCUAGAGUGCAGAAGGGGCAAUCGGAAUUCUUGGUGUAGCGGUGAAAUGCGUAGAUAUCAAGAGGAACACCUGAGGCGAAGGCGGGUUGCUGGGCUGAUACUGACGCUGAGGCGCGAAAGCUAGGGUAGCAAACGGGAUUAGAUACCCCAGUAGUCCCUGAGCGGGCUGGCAAGGCGCAU